UGAGCCAUUUUUUUUGUCUUAACCCCGAGCCUUUCCAGUCAACCCGUCAUUAUUACCCUCCGUUUACCCAAUUCGGGACAUAUCUCCUUUUGUUUGUUUUUAAACCACUGUAAAUAACCGUAAGCCCAAACACUACUUUACCUUGCUUGGAUAAAUGUUGUUGACUCCGGAUCUGUGGAAAAUCCUAAGUUUAGGGUUUCUUAUUUUUUUAGGGACACCGGUGAGAACUAGAUAAGUGCAGUUGAAAAAAAAUAGAAAAGUAUGAAAC
rnacentral:lncRNA from 1 species